rnacentral:tRNA from 1 species
AAGGAAGUUUUGAAUUGAUUUGCAAUCAAUUAAUAUGGUAACAUACGGA